GAUGAAGAACGUAGCGAAAUGCGAUACGUAAUGUGAAUUGCAGAAUUCAGUGAAUCAUCGAAUCUUUGAACGCACAUUGCGCCCGCCAGCAUUCUGGCGGGCAUGCCUGUUCGAGCGUCAUUUCAACCCUCGACUUCCCUUUGGGGAAGUCGGCGUUGGGGACCGGCCGUAUACCGCCGGCCCCGAAAUGAAGUGGCGGCCCGUCCGCGGCGACCUCUGCGUAGUAAUCCAACUCGCACCGGAACCCCGACGUGGCCACGCCGUAAAACCCCCGACUUCUGAACGUUGACCUCGGAUCAGGUAGGAAUACCCGCUGAACUUAAGCAUAUCAAUAAGCGGAGGA
rnacentral:misc_RNA from 1 species